GCCAGUUAUUUGUUAACUUAAAAAAAAACAAAACAAAACUUCAAUUUACUUCUUCAGUCAUUCUGCAGGAUCAUGGUGGGGUUUUUUUUGUUUUUGUUUUGGUGGUGGUGCUGAGAAUGGAGGCCAGGGCUGUGUGCUGCACAGGCUCUAAAUGGAAAAUAGAAAAACUGCACUUUCCAAGGGAUAAUGGCCUUGGGACAGGACCUUUGCCCAUUUGUCCCUGCCCACUGAUCAUUUGUAAGGUCAGCUUUUGCCAAAGAAAUGGCUUAAAUGUCUCGUCUCUCUACCUCUUUCUCUUUAUUGCAAAGAGGCAUUAUUCUCCACACAUUAAGCAUUUAAUCGCUACAGAGGCAUUUCUGAAUCUCCACUUAGGCUAGGGCAGCCACGGUGAGGAAAAACUGGAAAGGUGGUUGCAAAGCCCUUGUCAGACUUGGAACAAUUAGAAGAUGAAACAGUGGCUUGUGAGAAGUUAGUUGGAUCAUGACAGAAGGAAGAGCCAAUAGGAGAGAUGGAAGAAAGUCUGGCCUGACCAGAAGAAGGUCCCAUAUGAAUAACCACACCAAGAGAAGCUUCCUACUGGAGUGAAUUCAAGAGUAGGAUGUGGAGAAAGCAGUAGUAGGAAUCUCCUUUUUCUGCCUGAAGGGACUCAGCAUGAACAUACAUUCCAACUGGAGGAAGGUCAAGGAGUAAGAAAUCAGAAGAGAUGUGCUGCGCUAGAAGAUCUGGAAUGGAGGAACCAUUGGCCCCGCUGAGCAAGGCUGGACCUCCCCUUGUGACCUAGGAGAGAAAAGAGUGAGAGAGAAUCUCCUUGACAUUUUGGUGGACAUUCUUCCAUGUCUUUAUUGGUGCUAAAAUAUAUAAAUGUUCAAGAUCUCCAAGGGAAGGCUUGAAACCCCCUAAAGUACUCCCAAGCCUAGGGGAAUCAGAGGAGCACUACUUCUCCAGCUACGGACACCCUGGCAGCCUUUGAUCAGUGCAAGUUUUGUGAAAAUUUGCAAAAUCACGCUAUUUUUACAGUGUGAAUAAAGCAGAUGCUUAUCUAACGGAGGUGGAGGACACCUACGCACAUCACAAACUGCCAGAAAUUCAGGAUGACUUUCCUUCUCCUUCCCACCACCCCUAUUGCUAUCUCUGUGCACCCUUCCUAGCCACCCCACACCCCUGCGGUUUCCCUAAAGCUAUUCUUGUAGCACUUUCAUUUCCCUACACUGAUCCACCCAUCUGACAUGAUUCAGUCCACCCCAACAGGCACUCGCUUCCAGAGGUCCAGAAGUUCUCUUUUCCAGCUCCCAGCUUCCAGUCACCCUGGCCUUUCUUAUGCCCUCCUUAUCUUUGAAAGCCAGCUUUGCUACGUUCAUUAACAUUUCUGAGAUGCCUCGUUGAAGAAAACAAAGCCAAACAAAGAAAACUGGACCCUUCCCUUUCCUUUAAGCCCACAUUCCAGCCGGCUAGGAGGGGAAAGGUCAAUGUGGAGCUGCUUCUCCCUUCCAGGACCUGAGGUGCCAUUCAUUUCCCCUCCCUUGCGCAGUGCCUGCCUCCAUCCUCAUGGGAGGUACCAAGCAGAGCAUCUCAUCCGCUUAGUUUCUCAAGCAUUUUGCUUAACUCUUCUGUCUUCACUGCCCUCUUACUCUGCGGAUGUUUCCUAAAGUUGAAGUUGUGCUGAUCUCUUUUUUUUUUUUUUU